UUCGCAAUGCCCGAAAGGGUGACGAAGCGACGCCGCGUGGGUGAAGAAGGCCUUCGGGUUGUAAAACCCUGUCAGGAGUUAUGAAAUGUAAGUGCGCUAAUAUCGUGCUUAUUUGACAAAGGCUCCAAAGGAAGCCACGGCUAACUCUGUGCCAGCAGCCGCGGUAAUACAGAGGUGGCGAGCGUUGUUCGGAAUUAUUGGGCGUAAAGAGCACGUAGGUGGGUUUGCAAGUCAGAUGUGAAAGCCUUCUGUUCAACGGAAGAAUUGCAUCUGAAACUGCUAAUCUUGAGUAUAGGAGGGGAGAAUGGAACUUCUGGUGGAGCGGUGAAAUGCGUAGAUAUCAGAAGGAACGCCGGCGGCGAAAGCGAUUCUCUGGCCUAUUACUGACACUCAGUGUGCGAAAGCUAGGGGAGCAAACGGGAUUAGAUACCCCGGUAGUCCUAGCCGUAAACGAUGGGCACUAAGUAGAGGGGUUUU
rnacentral:rRNA from 1 species